rnacentral:tRNA from 1 species
AAGCUUAGGAUAAACUAAACCAAGGGCCUUCAAAGCCCUAAACAAGAGUACCAACCUCUUAGCCUCUGCCU